rnacentral:rRNA from 1 species
AGUGAACGCUGGCGGUAGGCCUAACACAUGCAAGUCGAACGGCAGCACAGUAAGAGCUUGCUCUUACGGGUGGCGAGUGGCGGACGGGUGAGGAAUACAUCGGAAUCUACUUUUUCGUGGGGGAUAACGUAGGGAAACUUACGCUAAUGCCGCAUACGACCUACGGGUGAAAGCAGGGGAUCUUCGGACCUUGCGCGAUUGAAUGAGCCGAUGUCGGAUUAGCUAGUUGGCGGGGUAAAGGCCCACCAAGGCGACGAUCCGUAGCUGGUCUGAGAGGAUGAUCAGCCACACUGGAACUGAGACACGGUCCAGACUCCUACGGGAGGCAGCAGUGGGGAAUAUUGGACAAUGGGCGCAAGCCUGAUCCAGCCAUACCGCGUGGGUGAAGAAGGCCUUCGGGUUGUAAAGCCCUUUUGUUGGGAAAGAAAAGCAGCAGGUUAAUACCCCGCCGUUCUGACGGUACCCAAAGAAUAAGCACCGGCUAACUUCGUG